GACGAACGCUGGCGGCGUGCUUAACACAUGCAAGUCGAACGAAGUGGCGCACGGGUGAGUAACGCGUAAUCAACCUGCCCUUCAGAGGGGGACAACAGUUGGAAACGACUGCUAAUACCGCAUACUGAAGGAGGGGAUUGCGUCUGUUUCGCUAGUUGGCGGGGUAACGGCCCACCAAGGCGAUGAUCAGUAGCCGGUCUGAGGGGAUGAACGGCCACAUCUGGACUUGGACACGGCCCAGACUCCUACGGGAGGCAGCAGUGGGGAAUCUUCCGCAAUGGAGGAAAGUCUGACGGAGCAACGCCGGGGGAGUGAUGACGGCCGUCGGGUUGUAAAGGUCUGUUAAUCGGGACGCGGUACCGGAAGAGAAAGCAACGGCUAACUACGUGCCAGCAGCCGCGGUAAUAC
rnacentral:rRNA from 1 species